rnacentral:rRNA from 1 species
UUCUAUACCCCAUUAUUUGCCCGACCUCUGUCUGCUCAGUUUUAGGUUGGGGUGACCACGGAGUAUAAAAUAACCUCCAUGAAGAAGGGGAUAUUUCCCUUAUUAGAGAACCACACUUCCAAGAACUAAUAAAUUAAUUUUCAAUGACCCGAUACCCGAUAAUCGAUCAACGAACCAAGUUACCCUGGGGAUAACAGCGCAAUCCACCCUGAAAGCCCUUAUUAACAGGUGGGUUUACGACCUCGAUGUUGGAUCAGGGUAUCCCAGUGGUGCAGCAGCUACUGAGGGUUCGUUUGUUCAACGAUUAAAACCCU